rnacentral:rRNA from 1 species
GGUGAACGCUAGCGGCAGGCCUAAUACAUGCAAGUCGAACGGGAUCCAGAUCAAAGCUUGCUUUGGUCUGGUGAGAGUGGCGCACGGGUGCGUAACGCGUGAGCAACCUACCCUUGUCAGGGGGAUAGCCCGGCGAAAGUCGGAUUAAUACCGCAUGACAUCAUUGAGAGGCAUCUUUCGAUGAUCAAAGAUUUAUCGGACAAGGAUGGGCUCGCGUGACAUUAGCUAGUUGGUAAGGUAACGGCUUACCAAGGCUGCGAUGUCUAGGGGCUCUGAGAGGAGAAUCCCCCACACUGGUACUGAGACACGGACCAGACUCCUACGGGAGGCAGCAGUAAGGAAUAUUGGUCAAUGGACGGAAGUCUGAACCAGCCAUGCCGCGUGCAGGAAGACGGCCCUAUGGGUUGUAAACUGCUUUUAUACGGGAACAAACGUCGGUACGUGUACCGGUCUGAGUGUACCGUAAGAAUAAGGAUCGGCUAACUCCGUG